rnacentral:tRNA from 2 species
GGAGGAUUAGCUCAGCUGGGAGAGUAUCUGCCUUACAAGCAGGAGGUCACAGGUUCGAUCCCUGUAUCCUCCA